CAGCAGCCGCGGGAAUACGUAGGGUGCAAGCGUUAAUCGGAAUUACUGGGCGUAAAGCGUGCGCAGGCGGUGUUGUAAGACUGAUGUGAAAUCCCUGGGCUCAACCUGGGAAUUGCAGUGGAUACUGGGCAACUAGAGUAAGGUAGAGGAUAGCGGAAUUUCCGGUGUAGCAGUGAAAUGCGUAGAGAUCGGAAGGAACAUCUGUGGCGAAGGCGACUAUCUGGGCCAUUACUGACACUGAGGCACGAAAGCGUGGGGAGCAAACAGGAUUAGAGACCCCUGUAGUCCCUGUCUCUUAUAC
rnacentral:rRNA from 1 species